UACGGAGGAUGCGGGCGUUAUCCGGAUCUAUUGGGUUUAAAGGGUGCGUAGGCGGGCUUUUAAGUCAGCGGUAAAAAUUCGGGGCUCAACCCCGUCCGGCCGUUGAAACUGGGGGCCUUGAGUGGGCGAGAAGAAGGCGGAAUGCGUGGUGUAGCGGUGAAAUGCAUAGAUAUCACGCAGAACCCCGAUUGCGAAGGCAGCCUUCCGGCGCCCUACUGACGCUGAGGCACGAAAGUGCGGGGAUCGAACAGG
rnacentral:rRNA from 1 species